CUAAACUUUUCAUAUUACACGAACUUUAAUGUAUAUAUGAACACAGUGUACUAAACUUGUUCGUAAAUCUGCGACUCAAUGGGUUAACUAGACACAUGGGCAGAUAGGUUAGUUAACCCAUUAAGUGCCAGCGCUCUCCCCUUGACGAGUAAGAUUAUCAGGCGUUAGACAGAGUAAAAUAAUCUGGCGUUGGACAGAGUAAAAGAAUAAAGUGGGGCGCAUCCGGGUGCAAUGCAACUCAAUGGGUUAACUGUUAAGGAUUAUUCAAG